rnacentral:rRNA from 1 species
AUUGAACGCUGGCGGCAUGCUUUACACAUGCAAGUCGGACGGCAGCAUAGAAGAGCUUGCUCUUUUGAUGGCGAGUGGCGAACGGGUGAGUAAUAUAUUGGAACGUACCGAGUAGCGGGGGAUAACUGUCCGAAAGGAUGGCUAAUACCGCAUACGCUCUGAGGAGGAAAGCUGGGGACCUUCGGGCCUGGCACUAUUCGAGCGGCCAAUAUCUGAUUAGCUAGUUGGUGGGGUAAGAGCCCACCAAGGCGACGAUCAGUAGCGGGUCUGAGAGGAUGAUCCGCCACACUGGGACUGAGACACGGCCCAGACUCCUACGGGAGGCAGCAGUGGGGAAUUUUGGACAAUGGGCGCAAGCCUGAUCCAGCCAUGCCGCGUGUAUGAAGAAGGCCUUAGGGUUGUAAAGUACUUUUGUCAGGGAAGAAAAGGGCAUUGCUAAUACCGAUGUCUCAUGACGGUACCUGAAGAAUAAGCACCGGCUAACUACGUG